AGUGAACGCUGGCGGUAGGCCUAACACAUGCAAGUCGAACGGCAGCACAGUAAGAGCUUGCUCUUACGGGUGGCGAGUGGCGGACGGGUGGGGAAUACAUCGGAAUCUACUUUUUCGUGGGGGAUAACGUAGGGAAACUUACGCUAAUACCGCAUACGACCUACGGGUGAAAGCAGGGGAUCUUCGGACCUUGCGCGAUUGAAUGAGCCGAUGUCGGAUUAGCUAGUUGGCGGGGUAAAGGCCCACCAAGGCGACGAUCCGUAGCUGGUCUGAGAGGAUGAACACCCAAAGUGGAACUGAGAACGGGUCCAGACCCCUAGGGGAGGCCGCGGGGGGGAAUUUUGGAAAAUGGGGGGAAGCCUGACCCAGCCAUACCGGGGGGGUGAAGAAGGCCUUCGGGUUUUAAAGCCCUUUUGUUGGGAAAAAAAAGCAGCAGGUUAAACCCCCGCUGUUUUGCGGGUACCAAAAGAAAAAGCCCCGGCUAACUUGGG
rnacentral:rRNA from 1 species